UACGUAGGGUGCAAGCGUUGUCCGGAAUUAUUGGGCGUAAAGGGCUCGUAGGGGGUCCAUCACGUCGGGAGUGAAAAGCUGGGGCUUAACCCCAGUCCUGCUUCCGAUACGGGUGGACUAGAGGUAGGUAGGGGAGAACGGAAUUCCUGGUGUAGCGGUGAAAUGCGCAGAUAUCAGGAGGAACACCGGUGGCGAAAGCGGCUUCCUGGACCAGCACCGACGUUCAGGCACGAAAGCGUGGGGAGCAAACAGG
rnacentral:rRNA from 1 species